UACGGGGGGGGGGCAAGCGUUGUUCGGAAUUACUGGGCGUAAAGGGCGCGUAGGCGGCCUGCUAAGUCGGAUGUGAAAUCCCUCGGCUCAACCGAGGAACUGCAUCCGAUACUGGCCGGGCUUGAAUCCGGGAGAGGGAUGUGGAAUUCCAGGUGUAGCGGUGAAAUGCGUAGAUAUCUGGAGGAACACCGGUGGCGAAGGCGGCAUCCUGGACCGGUAGUUGACGCUGAGGCGCGGAAAGCUAGGGGAGCAAACGGGGAUUAAGAUGACCCUGG
rnacentral:rRNA from 1 species